GAUGAACGCUGGCGGCGUGCCUAAUACAUGCAAGUCGAGCGAACAGACGAGGAGCUUGCUCCUCUGACGUUAGCGGCGGACGGGUGAGUAACACGUGGAUAACCUACCUAUAAGACUGGGAUAACUUCGGGAAACCGGAGCUAAUACCGGAUAAUAUAUUGAACCGCAUGGUUCAAUAGUGAAAGACGGUUUUGCUGUCACUUAUAGAUGGAUCCGCGCCGCAUUAGCUAGUUGGUGAGGUAACGGCUUACCAAGGCAACGAUGCGUAGCCGACCUGAGAGGGUGGUCGGCCACACGGGAACGGAGCCACGGUCCAGACUCCUACGGGAGGCAGCAGUAGGGAAUCUUCCGCAAUGGGCGAAAGCCUGACGGAGCAACGCCGCGUGAGUGAUGAAGGUCUUCGGAUCGUAAAACUCUGUUAUUAGGGAAGAACAAAUGUGUAAGUAACUAUGCACGUCUUGACGGUACCUAAUCAGAAAGCCACGGCUAACUACGUG
rnacentral:rRNA from 1 species